rnacentral:rRNA from 1 species
GACGUAGGGCGCGAGCGUUGUCCGGAUUUAUUGGGCGUAAAGAGCUCGUAGGCGGCUUGUCACGUCGGGUGUGAAAGCCCGGGGCUUAACCCCGGGUCUGCAUUCGAUACGGGCUAGCUAGAGUGUGGUAGGGGAGAUCGGAAUUCCUGGUGUAGCGGUGAAAUGCGCAGAUAUCAGGAGGAACACCGGUGGCGAAGGCGGGUCUCUGGGCCGAUAUUGACGCUGAGGAGCGAAAGCGUGGGGAGCAAACAGG